rnacentral:rRNA from 1 species
UUUUGCUAGUCAUAAAACCACUAGUGAAUAAGGGGUGGGCAAGUUCUGGUGUCAGCCGCCGCGGUAAAACCAGCACCUCAAGUGGUCAGGAUGAUUAUUGGGCCUAAAGCAUCCGUAGCCGGCUCUGUAAGUUUUCGGUUAAAUCUAUGCGCUCAACGUAUGGGCUGCCGAAAAUACUGUAGAGAUAGGGAGUGGGAGAGGUAGACGGUACUCGGUAGGAAGGGGUAAAAUCCUUUGAUCUAUCGAUGACCACCUGUGGCGAAGGCGGUCUACCAGAACACGUUCGACGGUGAGGGAUGAAAGCUGGGGGAGCAAACCGGAUUAGAUACCCGGGUAGUCCCAGCUGUAAACGAUGCAGACUCGAUGAUGCAUUGGCAUAUAGCCAGUGCAGUGUCGCAGGGGAGCCGUUAAGUCUGCCGCCUGGGAAGUACGUACGCAAGUAUGAAACUUAAAGGAAUUGGCGGGGGAGCACCACAAGGGGUGAAGCCUGCGGUUCAAUUGGAGUCAACGCCGGAAAUCACUAGUGAAUU